rnacentral:rRNA from 1 species
UAUUGCGCAAUGGAGGAAACUCUGACGCAGUGACGCCGCGUAUAGGAAGAAGGUUUUCGGAUUGUAAACUAUUGUCCACAGGGAAGAUAAAAGACUGUACCUGUGAAGAAAGCUCCGGCUAACUACGUGCCAGCAGCCGCGGUAAUACGUAGGGAGCAAGCGUUAUCCGGAUUUAUUGGGUGUAAAGGGUGCGUAGACGGAGAAGCAAGUUAGUUGUGAAAUCCCUCGGCUUAACUGAGGAACUGCAACUAAAACUACUUCCCUUGAGUGCUGGAGAGGAAAGUGGAAUUCCUAGUGUAGCGGUGAAAUGCGUAGAUAUUAGGAGGAACACCAGUGGCGAAGGCGACUUUCUGGACAGUAACUGACGUUGAGGCACGAAAGUGUGGGGAGCAAA